rnacentral:lncRNA from 1 species
UAAUUUUGAUUUACCCACAGUGUAUCCCAUUGCAUGUACUUUUUACUCCUUUGUCCCGAACUUGCUGAGUCUUGCUUUCAAAGUUUCUAGCUACUGAACUGCAGAGCAGAUGAAAAUCUCAUAAAUAUUCCCAUAUGGCAUAUUUGUAGAAAGAAGAUGGAUGUACAAGAUAGGGUUCCUUUUAUGUCUGUUGCCUGAGAAAAAUAGAACUAUGUUCUAUGCCCUGUGUAUUUACCUGUUGUUGAAGUAAAUAUCUCUUAUAAGCAUCUCAGGUUGGAGUUCAAAAUCCACUACUUAAUAAAACUGAAGAUCUUGGCUAUAUUUUUUCUUAGAUGCUCUGCCUCAGCUAUUUCAAAACUAUUUGUUCUUGUAAAAAUCACGGUCAAGAUUUGCAGAUUAAAAUGCUUGAAUCAAUAAAGUAACUGUAAGAAUUUCG